CGGCGAGCGAACGGGGAGGAGCCCAGAGCCUGAAUCAGCAUGUGUGUUAGUGGAAGCGUCUGGAAAGGCGCGCGAUACAGGGUGACAGCCCCGUACACAAAAGCGCAUGUGCUGUGAGCUCGAUGAGUAGGGCGGGACACGUGGUAUCCUGUCUGAAUAUGGGGGGACCAUCCUCCAAGGCUAAAUACUCCUGACUGACCGAUAGUGAACCAGUACCGUGAGGGAAAGGCGAAAAGAACCCCGGCGAGGGGAGUGAAAAAGAACCUGAAACCGUGUACGUACAAGCAGUGGGAGCACCCUUUGGGGUGUGACUGCGUACCUUUUGUAUAAUGGGUCAGCGACUUAUAUUCUGUAGCAAGGUUAACCGAAUAGGGGAGCCGGAGGGAAACCGAGUCUUAAUUGGGCGUUAAGUUGCAGGGUAUAGACCCGAAACCCGGUGAUCUAGCCAUGGGCAGGUUGAAGGUUGGGUAACACUAACUGGAGGACCGAACCGACUAAUGUUGAAAAAUUAGCGGAUGACCUGUGGCUGGGGGUGAAAGGCCAAUCAAACCGGGAGAUAGCUGGUUCUCCCCGAAAGCUAUUUAGGUAGCGCCUCGUGAACUCAUCUCCGGGGGUAGAGCACUGUUUCGGCUAGGGGGCCAUCCCGGCUUACCAACCCGAUGCAAACUGCGAAUACCGGAGAAUGUUAUCACGGGAGACACACGGCGGGUGCUAACGUCCGUCGUGAAGAGGGAAACAACCCAGACCGCCAGCUAAGGUCCCAAAGUCAUGGUUAAGUGGGAAACGAUGUGGGAAGGCCCAGACAGCCAGGAUGUUGGCUUAGAAGCAGCCAUCAUUUAAAGAAAGCGUAAUAGCUCACUGGUCGAGUCGGCCUGCGCGGAAGAUGUAACGGGGCUAAACCAUGCACCGAAGCUGCGGCAGCGAACGUAUCACCCAAGACAACUUUACGGAGUUGACGAUUGACGGAGCGAAGCGACGUCAAAGCGUUCAUUAAAGUCGAGUUGGCUUAGGGAUACGUUCGUUGGGUAGGGGAGCGUUCUGUAAGCCUGUGAAGGUGUGUCGUGAGGCAUGCUGGAGGUAUCAGAAGUGCGAAUGCUGACAUAAGUAACGAUAAAGCGGGUGAAAAGCCCGCUCGCCGGAAGACCAAGGGUUCCUGUCCAACGUUAAUCGGGGCAGGGUGAGUCGACCCCUAAGGCGAGGCCGAAAGGCGUAGUCGAUGGGAAACGGGUUAAUAUUCCCGUACUUGGUGUUACUGCGAAGGGGGGACGGAGAAGGCUAUGUUGGCCGGGCGACGGUUGUCCCGGUUUAAGCGUGUAGGUGUGUGUUCCAGGUAAAUCCGGUUCACUUUAACACUGAGGCGUGACGACGAGGCACUACGGUGCUGAAGCAACAAAUGCCC
rnacentral:rRNA from 1 species